GCACAGGCUACGCGCUCGAGCGCAUCCUCGUUCGUCGCUGCUCGUCGCCGGAGUCGGUCGUGUUUCACGCUCGAGUCCUCUCCAACAGUCGCCCGAUACCGAGGAGAGAGCAUCCGUCGUUUGCCAGAAGCUCGUACGCCAUCGUGGUGUUAACCACAUUCUCUUUCAACGUCGACGGCGACGAUGUUUCGGUACUCUCGUUUCCGAUCUUCAUCGUCUCAGUUCCACUCGAACCGCGUUACCGCCUGUGUUACUUCUUGGAACACCGAAACACGCGAUUACUUCAUACAUCGUGGCAUAGAAAAAAGGACUCGUGUCGCGAAUCCAUCUGAUUCCCAAUGUGUCGUCGUGGCGUGGUCCGCGAUUUAAGUGCGUGGCGUGGUAUCGGGACCGGAGUUAAAAAUAUAGAAAUUGUGCAUACACUUUGAGCAUUCGCUCCGAACGAGCGUUAUUUAGAUUACUAGCUCGUUUUAAUGUAAGGUGCUCCUUAAUUCCAGUGGAAAGUGCUCAUUCGGGGCAAAUGCUCAAGUGAGUACAUAAUUUGAUCGAAAACGAGCACCGAUUGGUUAACUGUGGUAUCACGCGAGUAUCUUGAAACGAUUGCUGUGUAUCGUUUUGUAGUUUUCCUUUUAACUUAAAAAUAAUUUUUUAAUACAAGUGUUAUGCAACAGUCUUAUAAAUAUUUGCUGCGUGUUUCAAACUUUUCUAAAACGUUUGGUCGAAAUUAAUAGUUUCCCGUUAGCCCAAUAUUCUACCAUUUCGCGAUUCUGUUAUUUGUCUGUAAAAAUGUAAUAAUCGUUUUGCCGCGUGAAAUAAAUCGCUGGAACGAUUGCUCGAAUUCAAACGAUAUGUGCAGUGAAAGACGAUAGGUACCAGCGCGGCACAUGGAGAACGAGCGGAUCUUCACGAAGACUCUGAAGAGAGAAAGAUAUAGAGAAAUAUGGGAAGAUCAAACUCGCCUCGUGGAUGUUUACCUGAUAAUCAAAGAGUUUACUUUUUGUGCUCUAAAACAGAAAACAGGAGGAAAGAAAAGAAUGAAACGUUGCUCGUACGUCGGUGCUCGUGUUCGUGUUCCUCUUGUCUCUCAGUGGAUAAAGAUGGCGGUCUCCUCGUUUGGUUGGUUCGUUGGUUGAGUGGUGAGAGGGGUUAACUGUGACGCAACCUAACGUCACGUGAUCAAACCGUGGCUCCGUUCUCGCUGGGCCAGUGUGUGAUCUAACCAUUUGUUACGCCAGUUGGAAGAUACGCAACGCCUCUACAGAGCCCAGGAUAGACAAGAAGAGAAUCAGCUUUUUUUUGCAACAUUGCUUCGGGGCGGGCUCGUCGUCCAUCAUCCGACGCAACGCACCUUGAUCUUUUUCUCGGUCGCUAGGUCAGUGGGGGUGAGAAACUGGCUUGGCUCUGUACUACGACAGUCAGUCUUUUUCUCUCUCCUAUCGGCCUCACGACACAUCUCUGUCUCUGUUCCUGCGCAGACCGAGCACGACCCGCUUUCGCGAGAAAAUACAACCGUCGCAUUUUUCUUUACGCCUUCCGAUUACUCGAAGAACAAAGGCCAAUUCGUGCAACAGAAUUGUUUUAGUAUAAUUUUUCGGCUCAGCAGUGAAGACCGUGUUCCCCCAGCUGUAAUCUGAAAACGUUAAGUAGCUCUGGGAUCAUGGAGAACACUGCAAGAGUGCUGACCAUUCUUCGCAUCGUCUUUUAACUAAUAGUACCCUUCUGCUUUCCGGGUCGCGCUCGAAGUCACGUGUAAAUUAUUUUUCGUGCUCAUCGACCGAAAAAUAUUGUUCCAAAAAUAAAUCGAGGCUGAAUUUCUUUUGGGAUUGAUCAUCGAUCGCGAUGUUUAACAUUCUUUCCGUUCAUCAACUUGUUUAAGUAUUUCGCGUAGUUCGAAUAUGUUCCUGUAUUGUCUUUAACAAGAAUAAUCGUUAGAACGUGUGGUAAAUCGCGUGGUGCACCUGCUACAUCGAACAAAGAAGCUUGUCUUGCGUUAGUAGCUUAGUAACUCGGUCUCGAACGUCGUUGCAAAGCUACUUCGUAAUUGCCAUUGCAAGAUCUCCGGUCGUUAGAGCGCCGUUCACCUCGAGCCGUCUAUACUUUCUAAAACCGCUUACUUUCGUAACUUGGCAAAUACCGUCGGCUUGGUACACCGCGCACCGGAUUGCUGCCGGUGAUUACGAACUUGUAUUUUUUUUCUUUCCUAAUAAAGCGCAACGCUGUCGUUUUCCAUGUAACAAGUGCACAGAAACGUUCUUUUUUUUCUCUUUUAUCGCCACGCUUCAUAGUCAUUGCUUGACAAACUGGUUCUCAAACGUCGAGAGGUUCAUUUUUUAAACAUUACGCGAAAUAGAUUCACGUGCUUCGUACUAUUCCGAGCAUAACUGUUCUUUAGACAAACAGUAAAUAGUAAAAGAAAUUCUUGUUCCAAUAUUGUUCAUCUUUUUCUAUGUUACCUUGAAGACGGCAUUCGUUAUAUGAUUUCGUGACAAGCACUCGUAAAUCAUUGAUGAUAAUUUCGAAUGGCGGUAAAAGUUAUAGAAGUUUGGAAAGUUACCGCUCCUUGGGAAGAAUGGAGACGAUGGUGGAACGAGAUAUGCCGUGUGCGCACGUACACGCAAAGAGGAAAGGGAAGUGGGACUGGCUUGCCUUGUGCCACUUCGUACUCGUACGCACCGCUAUCGAGAUUGUAAUCCCCGAUACUUUGUGUCGGUCUUGUAAUAUUAACAGAUUUGUUCUUCCUUUUGGUACCUCCGUUCAUCGACUGCGCUCGGUACAACCAUCAAGCAACCGUAACGUGUAAUUGUACUCAAACUCGGGUUUUUUUUUUUAAAUCAGAAAUUAAAAUUCAAGUUUUUCUUUUUUCACAUCAAAUUCGAAGUUUACAUAGAACAUUGGUUAUGCAGCGGAAGGGUGAUCCUAUUGGUCUAUCCCGAAGGGUAGUGAAAGAAAUUGGGAAAUCAAUGUGGAAAGCUGGAAUGGUUGUGAACGUUAAGUCUUUGGGGGAAAAAGCAAACGGGUGAUCAUCAAUCGCCAUUUUAUAGAAGGCACCGCAUUGCGGCCAUCUUUCGUAGAGUAACCGAUGCGUUUCCAUUUCCAUUUGGGGUUGCACGAUUGGCUCGGAUUCCAUUCACGCGCUGUCUAAUUUUACUCGUUGGCCUCGAAUCCGCCUUGCCAUCGCUCAUCGCGUGCUGCGCGCUUACCUGUGAAUCCGAGCAAACACGUUUCCGAUCGAUGUCGCUAAAAUGGCUCAAACUUGCUAAUCCGUCUCUGCAAUUCCGAAAACAGCUAGUUUUACGUUCUUCAUGAAUUCGUUCAAUGCAGAUUGCGUAGGUCUUUGUAAGCAAUUAAGUUUGUCUAUUCCACUGGCAACCUUCAAUUUGUAUGUUAACUGUUGCUAAUGUAUGCGACUGUGCAGAAAUGAUUAAUGUGAGCGAUAGUAUUUGCAGUAAAUGUAUGAACUGUUGCGAGAUGAGGCUCUGUACACUGUGCGUGUAAAAAUAAUGUUAAGAAUAAACACUGGAAUUUCAUAACACAUUUUUGUUCAUUUUAGAGAAUCCUAAUUCAGUUCUAUUUUCAGUUAAUCUCCUCUGUCAACGUGGAGGAAGGUUGAAAAAUCUUUCAUUCUCGUUAAAACGAACGUUUGUGUACCGUUGCCUAUAGUAAUCCUGUUAGCUCCUUCGAAAAGAGGUUAAACCUUUUUGCAGGUAUCGAAUAAUUUAACACGGCGAUACCCAAGCGACUUAACCCGCCUUCCUCGGGUUUCAAUUUAAUCCGUUAAAUAAGUAUAAGCUCAGUUUACGCUACAUCAUUUACGCAUUCCGGCUGGCUUUAAUUAUAUUGCGGCAGCGCGCGGGCUAAGAGUUUUAUAUUCGCGGAUACGUUUCGGAUCUCCAUUUUUUGCUUUCCGCCAUUUGAAAAUAAUUCUCGACGUCUGCGCCAAUGCUGGGGAUGACAUCAUUGCGAAACGGUUGAACGACGGAGAGGAAGGGGUAUCCGUGAAGAUCGUGGAUCAUCACGAGUGGCGAGGGGAAACGCGCGGGGCGACGAAGAAGGGUCGAGAAUGAAGAGGAACAGGCGCUGCUAGCGGUGGCCUCAAGACACUUCGUAUCUCCUUAAAACAGCGCAACUUUUCCAAUUCCUUUUGUACAUACAUUUGUUUCUUACAGCUGUUUAGCGAAUUGCACGGGGAACUGAAGAAACAGUCUAAUGGCUAUCGUUAGGCAUUAGGUACAGAGGUUCAGGGCAUUAAAGUAAAUGGGAGAGAAGGGAGAACGGGAAAACGGGGAAGAGGGAACGAUCGAGGUCUUCUCUAGUGUAGAAAAGUCGCAUAGAAGGGAGAGGAGAAUGAAACCGUGAUGUGAUAUAAGCAUGAGGCCAGAGGUGGGGGGGCCAGGCAACCAGGCCUUGAACAAGCCAAAGAGAACAAAAAGCAAGCUUCGGAGAUCCCUCGACUAUGCUGUAACAGUACCGCCAUUUCAUGAAGUUGUACGAAAAUCUAUCACCACUUCCCUUUCUUUCGAGUUUCCGAUGAUCUUGAGAUUCACAGCUAAUCGAAAAUCUAGUAUUUUUACCAUUUGUAGAUCUCCUUGAAGAAAACUCAACUAUUUAUAUGUUUCCCUUGGCUCAAACCGCUUGAAAUAAUUUUAAAGGUAGUUAAAUUUGGUGGAGUUAAUUCGGAAUCAUCGGUACCUUGAGGUUUGCCUAGUUAGUAGAGUAGAAACGCAUGUAGUCCCGCUUCUCUCGAUGUUCAAAAUAGAAAGACCGAAUGGGAAAAAAUGUCAGUAAGGCAUAAUUAUGCACAGACGCGUCGCAAGCAGUAUUUUACUUGGAAAUUACGGAGUACGUAGUCAUCGUCAUUGCGUGCUAGGAACUGGCUGAUAAUUGCUGCACGUUACGUACGUCUGCAGAACUUUUUCUGUUAUCAUCUCGCCUCGGUUUUUGUGCCUCGGCAACGUUUUUACAGGCACGAGGAGACACGGAGGAACGGGGAAUAAGGAAAACGAAAGUGAAGACAUCUGGAGGAUAGAGGGAAGGAGAGGGAGCGAAGAAAAGGAAGUGUUGCGAGGCGUGGGAGAGGGCGUCUCCUUUGACGAAGCCGGGGUUUCACGAAACGACCUGCUCGGCUUCCAUUCUCUAUAGCCGAAAACCCACCCCAACUUUCACCCUCGCACGCCCGGACGACUGGAUGCUCAAAGAUGGCCGACCAGCUGGCUAGGAGGUCACCGGGUGCCUCGAUAGACCACGCCCUACACUUGCCAAGCCCGACAACUUCUCACAGAGCCGAUUUAGCUUCCAUAGCCAGUACCAAGGGCGCCUCAAGGACGAACGGUUUCAAGAAGAACCGGACAGCCAUGAUCGCUUCUUCCCGGAAAUUGCGUAACCACGCGCCGCGUCGCCUAGCUCGUUACUGAUUUUCUCUAAUUUCACCCUGCUCGUGCAUAAAGUAAAUGUCCCAAUUUCUACCCAGCUAAGCAUAAUUUCGCUAUCAACUGAACAUAGAAAACAAUGUAUUUUACAAGUCGAAACUUAUAAUGAAAAGUAUUUUCACAGGUUUUCCAAACCAAAAAAUCAUUUGCAAGUAUUUUUCCUGUAGAAUGAAAGCCAGAGCAUCUCUAAUGAAGGCUUAAAAUACAAACCUCUAAUGUCAGUAUUUCUACUCAACCAAAA